rnacentral:lncRNA from 1 species
AGCAAUAGCUACCCCUAUCACAACAAUACUCUAUUAGGCAAAAACACCAAAUGGGAGAGGUUAGUUUUUUGUUUUUAGUUUCAUCAUGUAUGUUGUUCACCAUAGUAUAUUCAGAUUCCUGAAAUUCCUUUUUUUGCUCUCUCAGUUUCUAAUUAAUUAAAACUCGUGUGGUACGUUUAUGGCAGGAAAAAGAGCAGCCUAAGAAUGAAACCGAGAAGAAGCCCGAGGAGGCCGCCGCAGCCCCCAAGAAAGACGACGGACCCAUCCCUGUCGUUUACAAACUCGACUUGCAUUGCGAGGGAUGCGUCAAGAAGAUCAAACGCACAUGUCGCCACUUCCAAGGUAAAUUAAUAAAAUCAUAAUAAUUAAUCUCUCAUUCUACCCGUUAAUAUUCAAAUUGCAGUCAUUUUUGUUCAUAAGAUUCUAAAUUGAGAAAAUGGCGAAAACAUGAUGUAGGUGUGGAAACCGUUAAGGCAGAUCUAUCGUCGAACAAAGUGACUGUUACCGGCAAAUUGGAUGCCGAGAAGCUGCGAGAUAAGAUCGCCGAGAGAACCAAGAAGAAGGUUGACAUCAUCUCAGCUCCGCCCAAAAAAGAAGCCGCCGCCACGGAAAAUCCACCGGAGAAGAAGGUUGAAGAGAAGAAACCUGAAGAGAAAAAACCAGAAGAAAAACCUAAAGAGGUAAUUAAUUAGUAAUUAAUCUUCAUUUUCCCCUAAUAGAACGAAUUUAUUAGGCAUAAUUUCACUAACGGAUUUUAUUUUAAUUUAUUUAUUUUUUCUUCUCUACAGAGUAUGGUGGUUUUGAAGAUCAAACUGCACUGUGACGGUUGCAUUGCGAAAAUUCGAAGAAUCAUUAUGAGGUUCAAAGGUGAGAGAGUUGACCUAAAUCAUUAAUUCACACCUAAUUCAUUUUUUUUAAUGAAACAUUUGAUUAUUCUAAUUUAAGUAAUUAAUUAAAUAUCUGAUGCAGGUGUACAAUCGGUGAGCCUUGACGGAAGCAAGGACUUGGUGACAGUGAAGGGAACAAUGGACGUGAAGGAGAUGGUGUCGUACCUGAACGAGAAGCUGAAGCGAAACGUGGAAGUGGUGCCUCCUCCGAAGAAAGACGACGAUAAGAAAGAGAAAGAAGGUGACGGUGGCGAAAAGAAAGAGAAAGAGAAAGACGGUGCCGGUGAGAAGAAAGAGAAAGACGUUGCUGCAGCG